ACUCUCCCUGCCGUCGCCGCCCGGGACCGGGUGACAUUGAGGUUUUCGUCUAUCGCCGCUGGGCCGAUAGGGCUUCUUUUUAAGAUUUGGCUUUCCAACUCCCACUUUGCAGUUGUGUCAGCCAAUCACGACAGCUUCCCAGACUUCCGUGCAAGUGCCUGCUUUGAGGCCAAGGUGGCCAUAAAUGGCAGCUCCUCAGGCUCCUCCACAAUCUCUGGUUUCUUAUGUUUCUCCAUGAGCUCAGCUUUUUCAUCAACUCCAAUGCUUCAAGCCGAAGUCAUUAGUGAAUGUUCUACAAUCCUUCAGCUGCAGCUCCAGACCUUCACUCCUCCAGCUUCUCCUACAUCCAUCUAACCCUCAAUUCCUACAUUAAAUCUCUUUAUUCCAGAAUA
rnacentral:lncRNA from 1 species